GCCCCAGUGGCCUAAUGGAUAAGGCAUCGGUCUCCUAAACCGGGGAUUGUGGGUUCAAAUCUCACCUGGGGUA
rnacentral:tRNA from 1 species